AGUCGAACGUGAAGCCACCUUCGGGUGGUGGAAAGUGGCAGACGGGUGAGUAACGCGUGGGAACGUGCCCUUCGGUUCGGGAUAACCCAGGGAAACUUGGGCUAACACCGGAUACGCCCUUCGGGGGAAAAAUUUAUUGCCGAAGGAUCGGCCCGCGUCGGAUUAGCUUGUUGGUGGGGUAAAAGCCUACCAAGGCGACGAUCCGUAGCUGGUCUGAGAGGAUGAUCAGCCACACUGGGACUGAGACACGGCCCAGACUCCUACGGGAGGCAGCAGUGGGGAAUAUUGGACAAUGGGCGCAAGCCUGAUCCAGCCAUGCCGCGUGGGUGAAGAAGGCCUUAGGGUUGUAAAUCCCUUUCAGCGGGGAAGAUAAUGACGGUACCCGCAGAAGAAGCCCCGGCUAACUCCGUGCCAGCAGCCGCGGUAAUACGGAGGGGGCUAGCGUUGUUCGGAAUUACUGGGCGUAAAGCGCGCGUAGGCGGACCUGCAAGUCGGGGGUGAAAGCCCGAGGCUCAACCUCGGAACUGCCUUCGAUACUGCGGGUCUUGAGUCCGGGAGAGGUGAGUGGAAUUCCUAGUGUAGAGGUGAAAUUCGUAGAUAUUAGGAAGAACACCAGUGGCGAAGGCGGCUCACUGGCCCGGUACU
rnacentral:rRNA from 1 species